rnacentral:rRNA from 1 species
AGUAACGCGUGAGUAACCUGCCUUUCAGAGGGGGAUAACGUUCUGAAAAGAACGCUAAUACCGCAUGAGACUACAGAGCUGCAUGGCUCAGUGGUCAAAGGAGCAAUCCGCUGAAAAGAUGGACUCGCGUCCGAUUAGAUAGUAGGCGGGGUAACGGCCCACCUAGUCGACGAUCGGUAGCCGGACUGAGAGGUUGAACGGCCACAUUGGGACUGAGACACGGCCCAGACUCCUACGGGAGGCAGCAUG